UUAAAAUAAGACAUGACUUAAAGGUUUUAGUUACCAGGUCAUAAAAUCCCUUAAAAGACAUGUCAUGUAAAUAAACAUCUACACACGUUUCAAACGACAUAGAUCAGGAGCGGAGACUUUCCAUUAGCGACGCGACUUGAUCGAGGACGCCUGUGUAAUGAAUAAAUUACACGCUGAAACACUGUUCCGUUUUCCAUUCAUUAAACGACCAGUCUUAAGAAAUAUGACAAACUAAGGUUUUGUCUAUUCAAUACCACAAUAUUGGUUACUGUUACCGCUGAUAUACAUAUACACAAUAACAUAAAAAAGCGUUGAAAUUUUUGUGACCAUGAAAAACUCAACUGUAAUAAUGAAGACGUAUUUCGGUCUCAGUUUACAUUUUACUCAGUCGGAAUUUAUGCAACAGUGUAUCUCCAACUUUUAAUCGUGAUCAAUUAUAGCUAUCACUAAAAUUUGGUACCGCGGCAGUUAGCCCACGCUGCUGCUUCUCUGACGAUUGUGUUGAGAAAAAUCAGAAUCGGAUCUUGGUUUGGUCAGUUCAGCGCAUGGAAAAUUAUUCACGAGAUCUGAAUGAAUCCUUUGAAAGAUGGCCUAAGUAUCAGGGUGUAUGGAGAAAAUGGACCCACUACUAGAGGAUCAUGUUGGAGCGCUGCGGCUGUUGUAACUUCGUUACUUUCACAAUCAGGAACUAGCCCCGUGCAGGAGCUACAUAUAGGUAAAAUACGCAGGCCAUCGACCGCACCACCACCACAUAGAGGAGGUGCGUCGUUUGUUAAGGACCCUUGUUUACGGAAGAAACCGGCUUAAUGCGAUGGCUGUCCCAAGCAGCUGGACCCAAACAGCCAAUAAGCGUGAAAGAUCCAACGACUGUCUAGAAUGAGGCUGAAGUACUCUGCUUGCAUGUUACUACCUUAAUACGGACGGGCUUAAUGUGUGGUGGACAAGGCAAUGGGACACCAUUUCACUGUGUCUACCACGAAAUUCACUUAUAGGAAGCAAACUGAAAAGUGCAACAAAGCCACGCGAUCCGCUUUCCGGCUUUUUACUGCGUUACUCCAUACGGCAUUGCCAACAUUUUUCAAAAACAUAUAGUUAAAAAUCAAACAAACUCUACGUAUGAUACGCGAGGCUAUCUUGAUGAUAAUAGUAUAUUAAGCAGAAGAUCCCGAUCUCCUCAAGCUCCUGUUAAUUAGUAUUAGUACAUCCCUCUUAUGACCGUGGUACUAGUAUCCUCAUUGCCUUUCAAUUUAACUCCCUAAUUCCAAAUCCCCUAAAUCUAUUCGGAAAAACUCGGCAUAGAGCGUCAUGCAUAUCCACAGGAAUGAAAUAACCAUCCUUUUUAUUUUUCGGUCUGACAAGAAUUCGUUAACUUUAUCAUAUUCAGCUGUAAUUAGUAUUCAGUCGUAUCAUAUUGAUUUGUUCUACAUGCAUUUGAAUAAAAAUCGAGAGACAUAAAUACAAACAAAUCUAGGGUCCAAAUUAAGAACCUGUGCUUGAAGUCGUCGCAUAGAACCAUAACUGUAAGAAUAAGACUUCAAAUUUCAACGUUCACUUUAUUUAUAUUCGCGAUUUUUUAAGCUUGACUGUUCUUAGAAUGAUGACAACGUUGAUGCUUUGAGAAGAUUUUGUUUUAUAAAUAAUAAAAUAUUAUAAUACUCUACUAAAA